AUGUGGUAUGAGCUCAAAAAUCUAUGCAGUAAAGUAGUUUUAAACGAUCAAGAGGAUAGAUGUAGCUGGCUGCUAACUAAAUCUGGUAGAUUCACGGUUAGAUCUUUGUAUCUUGCUUUAAAAACAGAUCAGGCUGCCUGGCCUCAUAGGAAACUGUGGCAGGCGAGGAUACCGCUGAAAGUUAAAGUUUUCCUGUGGUUGAUGUUUAAGAAUAGUGUCCUAACUAGAGACAAUUUGGCGAAUAGAAACUGGAAAGGAAAGGAUAAAAACUGUAGUUUCUGUGAUUACCCAGAAACGGUUGAUCACCUUUUCUGUACAUGUGUGGUGGCUAAGUUUGUGUGGGGUGUGGUUAGGAAUAUAACUGGAAUUCUUGACAUUCCAUGCAAGAUAAAAGAGUUUACUGCCUGGGUAGAAAAAAUUCCUAAGAAUAUUAGGCAAACAAUAGCAGUGGGUGUUUCUGCGGUGUUUUGGACUUUGUGGAAAGCUAGAAAUGCUGCUACAUUUCAUCAUGUUUACCGUCAUGACCCUAGUGUGUUGUUCUUUCAAAUAUCUUAUUGGAUGUCUUACUGGGCUGGUCUACAGAGAAAAGAAGGGCAACAGAUGUUGCGGGCCGUCGCAGCACUGCUGGUUGAUGUUGCGAAUGGUUUCUUCAACAGGAGCAGAGGAUGGGCGCCCAUGGUGAAACGUCUUGAUAUCGGAAAGUAA
rnacentral:rRNA from 1 species